UACAGAGGUCUCAAGCGUUGUUCGGAUUCAUUGGGCGUAAAGGGUGCGUAGGUGGCGCGCUAAGUCAGGUGUGAAAUUUCGGAGCUUAACUCCGAAACUGCAUUUGAUACUGGCGUGCUUGAGGACUGGAGAGGAGACUGGAAUUCAUGGUGUAGCAGUGAAAUGCGCAGAUAUCAGGAGGAACACCGGCGGCGAAGGCGGCACUCUGGGCCGGUACUGACGCUGAGGAGCGAAAGCGUGGGUAGCAAACAGG
rnacentral:rRNA from 1 species